CAUAGGUUAAUGAGGCGAACCGGGGGAACUGAAACAUCUAAGUACCCCGAGGAAAAGAAAUCAACCGAGAUUCCCCCAGUAGCGGCGAGCGAACGGGGAGGAGCCCAGAGCCUGAAUCAGUGUGUGUGUUAGUGGAAGCGUCUGGAAAGGCGCGCGAUACAGGGUGACAGCCCCGUACACAAAAAUGCACAUGCUGUGAGCUCGAUGAGUAGGGCGGGACACGUGGUAUCCUGUCUGAAUAUGGGGGGACCAUCCUCCAAGGCUAAAUACUCCUGACUGACCGAUAGUGAACCAGUACCGUGAGGGAAAGGCGAAAAGAACCCCGGCGAGGGGAGUGAAAAAGAACCUGAAACCGUGUACGUACAAGCAGUGGGAGCCUCUUAAUGGGGUGACUGCGUACCUUUUGUAUAAUGGGUCAGCGACUUAUAUUCUGUAGCAAGGUUAACCGAAUAGGGGAGCCGAAGGGAAACCGAGUCUUAACUGGGCGUUAAGUUGCAGGGUAUAGACCCGAAACCCGGUGAUCUAGCCAUGGGCAGGUUGAAGGUUGGGUAACACUAACUGGAGGACCGAACCGACUAAUGUUGAAAAAUUAGCGGAUGACUUGUGGCUGGGGGUGAAAGGCCAAUCAAACCGGGAGAUAGCUGGUUCUCCCCGAAAGCUAUUUAGGUAGCGCCUCGUGAAUUCAUCUCCGGGGGUAGAGCACUGUUUCGGCAAGGGGGUCAUCCCGACUUACCAACCCGAUGCAAACUGCGAAUACCGGAGAAUGUUAUCACGGGAGACACACGGCGGGUGCUAACGUCCGUCGUGAAGAGGGAAACAACCCAGACCGCCAGCUAAGGUCCCAAAGUCAUGGUUAAGUGGGAAACGAUGUGGGAAGGCCCAGACAGCCAGGAUGUUGGCUUAGAAGCAGCCAUCAUUUAAAGAAAGCGUAAUAGCUCACUGGUCGAGUCGGCCUGCGCGGAAGAUGUAACGGGGCUAAACCAUGCACCGAAGCUGCGGCAGCGACACUAUGUGUUGUUGGGUAGGGGAGCGUUCUGUAAGCCUGUGAAGGUGGCCUGUGAGGGUUGCUGGAGGUAUCAGAAGUGCGAAUGCUGACAUAAGUAACGAUAAAGCGGGUGAAAAGCCCGCUCGCCGGAAGACCAAGGGUUCCUGUCCAACGUUAAUCGGGGCAGGGUGAGUCGACCCCUAAGGCGAGGCCGAAAGGCGUAGUCGAUGGGAAACAGGUUAAUAUUCCUGUACUUGGUGUUACUGCGAAGGGGGGACGGAGAAGGCUAUGUUGGCCGGGCGACGGUUGUCCCGGU
rnacentral:rRNA from 1 species